rnacentral:rRNA from 1 species
CCUACGAGCGGCAGCAGUGAGGAAUAUUGGUCAAUGGGCGCGAGCCUGAACCAGCCAAGUAGCGUGAAGGAUGACUGCCCUACGGGUUGUAAACUUCUUUUAUAAAGGAAUAAAGUGAGGCACGUGUGCCUUUUUGUAUGUACUUUAUGAAUAAGGAUCGGCUAACUCCGUGCCAGCAGCCGCGGUAAUACGGAGGAUCCGAGCGUUAUCCGGAUUUAUUGGGUUUAAAGGGACCGUAGAGGGGUGUUUAAGUCAGUUGUGAAAGUUUGCGAUUCAACCGUAAAAUUGCAAUUGAUACUGGUAGUCUUGAGUACAGUUGAGGUAGGCGGAAUUCGUGGUGUAGCGGUGAAAUGCUUAGAUAUCACGAAGAACUCCGAUUGCGAAGGCAGAUUACUAAACUGCCACUGACAUUGAUGCUCGAAAGUGUGGGUAUCAAACAGGAUUAGAUACCCGAGUAGUC